rnacentral:lncRNA from 1 species
CUAGCAUUUUGCUAAAUCUUUGGAGGAUACAGGAUGUAUUCAUGUUGGCCCCUGCCUUCACGAGACUUACAGUUAGGCCGGGCGCCCUCGGAAAAUGCAUCUGCUUAUGUCCUGUGUCCUGAGGACUUAGGGGUGAGCCAAAGUUGACAUAGCCCCGACCCACCGGGAGCAGACUUCUUGGGAGGAAUGUGAUUGACACAGCAUUUACAAGGGAGAUGGAUUUCUCAAAGGAAAGCUGUUGUGCAUGCAUUUGUCGGGGAUCUGAUCUGUUCGUGGUCUCAGGAUACCUUCUUUGAGAUGAGGAGACAGAAGAAGGGGGAGGAUGAGAAGACUACAGAUAUACUGAGAAGAGUAAGAUCACAGUGGAGUGAGGCUGGAAGGAGCCCAAAGGGAGGCUGCAUAGGGACUGAGGGCAGGCAGCCCCACAUCCCAGGCAGCUGGCCUCCCCCGGAUUGAAGAUUCUGACAGGAGCCCUCUCCAUGCACCUCCAGUCCCUCUCUGAGCACGUCUCAGCUAUUUAUUUGGUACCUAAUAUGUGCUGGACCUUCUGCUUGGUGCUGAGCACACAGGGAAAUCUUCCACGAGGAAGGCUGACCUGAAUUCUGCAGCCAAGAGGAGUUUGACUGGGCAGAAGAGGGGAGCCUUCUAUGCACACUGUGUGGCAAGGAGAAGCAUGGUGGCCUCGCGACACUGCACAAAGCCUGGUAGGGCUGGACUUCAGGAUGAGGAGGGGGCUGUGAGGCAGUAGGGGGUCUGUCUUCUGGCAACCCAGUAUUUGAGCACCCUGAUUAUUUGGGACAUCCCCAUUUCCUUCUGCAGAUGCUGAAGUAGGGGAAGAGACCUUUCUCCAUGCACUGUGGGAGCAUGCUUUUUAAGCAUAUCAAGCCCACAGCUCCUUCUCAGGCUGUAAGUCUUUCGGGAGGGCCAGGAGGGUACAUACUGGUUAGAGAGUUCCAUGGGGGCUACUGAUAGCUGAACAUUCAGCAGUAGGGGGAGUAUCUGGGUUGUGGAAUCUGGCAGCAGGAAGAGGGUGAUCAGGACCAAGGUGGGCUAGGGUCUGCAGGAGUGUCCUAAGUCGAUGGUUCUUAUGGUAGGGCCUUGGUUACUCGUCUCUAAAUCAGCCUGGUUCCCAUCUUGCUAAUCUGAUUCUGUGAGAGAUGCCCUUGUAAUAAAUUCAUUUUCUGCAUUAGUUACCCAGAUUCUACUUCUGUUGUUAAACCUAAGAACCCUGAUAAGAAUAGGUAGGUAGGUGCCAGAUCAUGCCAGCUCUUCCAGGUCAUGUUAAAGAAAGUGGCCUCUUGCUUAAGAAACCUAGAGAUCCAUACAGAGGUGUUGGAGAUGGGAGGUGACUGUCAGAUUGGAGCCAGUGGUUAUAGCCUGGUAUCAUUUGAGCUUCUCCAGAAGACCCCAAGACAAAGACUUGA